AUUGAACGCUGGCGGCAGGCCUAACACAUGCAAGUCGAGCGGAGAGGCGGACGGGUGAGUAAUGCCUAGGAAUCUGCCUGGUAGUGGGGGAUAACGUCCGGAAACGGGCGCUAAUACCGCAUACUAUCAGAUGGGCCUAGGUCGGAUUAGCUAGUUGGUGGGGUAAAGGCCUACCAAGGCGACGGUCCGGAACUGGACUGAGAGGAUGAUCAGUCACACUGGAACUGGGAAACGGUCCAGACUCCUACGGGAGGCAGCAGUGGGGGAUAGUGCACAAUGGGCGAAAGCCUGAGGCAGCGGCGCGGCGUGGGGGAUGAAGGCUUUCGGAUUGUAAACCUCUUUCGCUAUCGAACGGGUAGGUGGAGAAGAAGCGCCGGCUAACUCCGUGCCAGCAGCCGCGGUAAUAC
rnacentral:rRNA from 1 species